ACCAUUCUCAGUUUGGAAGCGGGCCCUUUGGGUAGUUAGGUCAUUGAGAAGACGUUGAUGUUCAUCAUCCUUUGCCUUCACUUCACUGAGCUGGUCUUCAAGCACACGGUUCACUUUUUCAAGGUUGGCCUAGAAGGAUAAUUGGUAAUAUUAUAGCUUGCACAAUUAUAGACUAGUAAAUAUAAAAGUGUUCUUUACUAACCACUUACUUACCUUUGAUUUGGAGAUAUUUUCAAGAUUGCUGGCGAGAUCAUCAAUCUCCAUUUUCAGCUCACUCUUUUCUUUCUCAAGCUUCUGCUUAACACGUUGUAGGUUAUCAAUUUGUUCCCCAAGUUCAGCAACACUGUCAGCAUGCUUCUUGCGCAGAGAACUGGAAGUAGCUUCAUUCUGAAGGGUAGCUUCCUCCAAGUCACGUCUCAGUUUCUGGAACUCAGCUUCACGCUUCUUGUUCAGCUCAAUUUGAGCAGAGGUAGCACCUCCGGCCUCUUCAAGUCUCUCACUGAUCUCUUCAAGCUCUCUAGAGAGAUCAGCUCUCUGUUUCUCAACCUUGGCACGAGCUGCACGUUCUGCUUCAAUUUCCUCCUCAAGUUCUUCAAUACGAGCCUAGAACACCAGAGGUAAAUGUUGUAGGGAAAAUGCAAUGUAGCUCAGAGGAUUACAAAACUGACUUGCACAAACAUACCUGAAGUUCCUUGAUCUUCUUCUGCAACUGAGAUCCCAGGGACUGCUCAUCUUCUAUCUUUGAUUGAAGCUGACUAAUUUCAAAGUCCUUCCUGUGUGUUAACAGAAAAUAUAAUGGCUUUUGUUAAACUGCUCUAAACAAAUAGGUUUUAAAACAAAAGAAACAAACAUUAACAAUAAAGACUAACUUCUUGAGUUUUUCAUCAGUUUGCUGUUUGUCAUUUUCAAGAUCCAUGACUGUUUCCUGGGACAGCUUCAGAUCACCCUCAAGCUUCCUCUUGGCUCUCUCCAGAUCAAGACGGAGUUUCUUUUCUUGUUCUAGAGAUCCUUCAAGCUAUAAGGAGAGAUA